rnacentral:rRNA from 1 species
GACGAACGCUGGCGGCGUGCUUAACACAUGCAAGUCGAACGGAAAGGCUCCAGCUUGCUGGAGUGCUCGAGUGGCGAACGGGUGAGUAACACGUGGGCAAUCUGCCCUGCACUCUGGGAUAAGCCUGGGAAACUGGGUCUAAUACCGGAUAGGACCUUUCUCCUCAUGGGGUUUGGUGGAAAGUUUUUCGGUGCAGGAUGAGCCCGCGGCCUAUCAGCUUGUUGGUGGGGUAAUGGCCUACCAAGGCGACGACGGGUAGCCGGCCUGAGAGGGUGAUCGGCCAAAUUGGGACUGAGAUACGGCCCAGACUCCUACGGGAGGCAGCAGUGGGGAAUAUUGCACAAUGGGCGAAAGCCUGAUGCAGCGACGCCGCGUGAGGGAUGACGGCCUUCGGGUUGUAAACCUCUUUCAGUAGGGACGAAGCGCAAGUGACGGUACCUGCAGAAGAAGCACCGGCUAACUACGUGCCAGCAGCCGCCGUAAGAC